AUUGCGAAUGAACAAGGAAAUUUCUCAGCCUUUAGAAUUGGGCCUUCCUGGGCUUCUGAAUUGUAUUGUGCAAAUGUGAUGCCAAUGGGGGUGCAGGUGUAAGCUGAUUGAAAGAAAGCGACCAGUGUGGGUGAAACCCCCUUUCACUGCCUGUUACCCCCCCAUGUAUGGCAUGCAUUCUAUGAGUCACAUUCCUUGGCAUUGGAAUGCAAAUUUGGUGGUAAAUUCCAUGUAAAGAUCAACAUAUUAUUGAGACUGAUAGCAAACAAGUACCGUGAGGGAAAUAUGAAAAGGACUUUGAAAAGAGAAUUAAAAGAGUCUGCAAUUGUUAAACAGGAAGCAACCGGAAUUGAAUUUGCAUGGGUAGAUUGUUUCUCCGUGUGGACCACCUUGGUGUCUGCAUUGGUGAAAUGGUUCUUCCUGUGGGUGCCAGGAUCUGUGUUAGUAAAUCAUCACUGCAUUCACAUGUAUGGUUGUUUCCCUGUGGGUAUUCGAAUACAUGUGUUUGGGCUGACUUAUAAUACGUGUUUGUGCAUGGUGGAGUUGCACACAUAAGACAGGGGUGUGUAUACUGCCUGUGUGCAUGCAACCUUCUUGCACAUGUGUGCUGGCGAUGCGUUCCGCUUGACCCGUCUUGAAACACGGACCAAGGAGUCUAAUAGAUGUGCAAGCGUGUGGGUGGAACACCUCCUUGCGCAAUGAAAGUAGUAGCUGGGAUUAUUGCACCAGCAUCCAACCAAUUAGCAGGCAGAGGUUUGAGUUUGAGCACAUGCAUUAGGACUCGAAAGAUGGUGAACUAUGCCUGAACAGAAUGAAUUCAGAGGAAACUCUGAUGAAGGUUCGUAUCGAUACUGACGUGCAAAUCGUUCGUCAU
rnacentral:rRNA from 1 species